rnacentral:rRNA from 1 species
AGAGUUUGAUCCUGGCUCAGGACGAACGCUGGCGGCGCGCUUAACACAUGCAAGUCGAGCGAGAACCAGGGCUUCGGCCCUGGGGAAAGCGGCGAACGGGUGAGUAACACGUGAGUAAUCCACCCUCGGUACCGGGAUAGCCCGGGGAAACCCGGAUUAAUACCGGAUGGCCCGGCAGCCUCUUGGGGCAGCCGGAAAAGGUAGCUUCGGCCUCCGACCGAGGACGAGCUCGCGGCGGAUUAGCUUGUUGGUGGGGUAACGGCCUACCAAGGCGACGAUCCGUAGCUGGUCUGAGAGGACGAUCAGCCACACUGGGACUGAGACACGGCCCAGACUCCUACGGGAGGCAGCAGUUAGGAAUAUUCCACAAUGGGCGAAAGCCUGAUGGAGCAACGCCGCGUGGAGGAUGAAGGCCCUCGGGUCGUAAACUUCUUUUCUAUGCGAAGAAUAUGACGGUAACAUAGGAAUAAGGGUCUGCUAACUACGUGCCAGCAGCCGCGGUAAUUC